UCUUUUCAGGGCACCCCACCCUUUUGCCGGGCGGGCUCAGGCUCCUGGUUACGCCGCGAGUACCGCCAGCGUCCUGGGAAACGUGUGCUAACCCGCCCACGAUUUUGUUGGUCCUCUCCCACUUAGAUACACACGUUUUUGGACCUCUUAGUAAUGAGGCUUUUAAGGAACUUUGUGAAGUUUCUACUCUUCUGCUUGGCGGUUUCUCCAGGCAGAACGGCGAGAUGACGGCUGCGCUGGCGGAGGAGGAGGCGGGUCCCAAAGACCUCCUAUCGCUCAGAGCCCGGCCCGCCCUUACUGAGGACGCCGCCGCCUGGCGCCAGGCCAGAGCAUCGGGGCGACUGUGCUUUCUGAGCGGGUUAUGGACAGAGAUCACAAGUAGCUUGGUGCCUUUUUGAAGAUGAGAAGAUGCAUGAAGCUGGGAGUUAAUGGAGAAGUGAGAAACGAGAAACAGCCACCGACUAUGAAAGCUCUCAUCUGCCAAAAGGGAGAUGGGGCUUUAAGAACCGGGAGAAUUUAUUCUUCCAGCCAUGAUGGGGUAACUGGCCCCAGGCUAGUCCUCCCACAGCAAACAGCCAUAAAACUGGAUGAAAAUUUUUCAGGCAACUGUUUGUCGGCAGUCGACAGACAACAGGCAGCCCAAGACUGUUAUCCCUGAGAGAGAAAAACUUAAAGAUUACAGAAUGAGAACUCAAUGCAUCUGGUGCAAAAUGCAGGGUAUUUACUGCCUGCGGCGGUAGAGCAGGCCAGACAAUAGUGGAGGUGGCUUGGAUAAAAGGAGCUCCCCGCUUCUUCUGUAGUUAACAGAAUGAUUAAGGGAUUCUGCCUGGGACACUGGAUUGAUUCUCCCUUGAGAAAGGAAUAUAAAUUAUUCUUAAUUGCUGA